rnacentral:rRNA from 1 species
GACGUGACUUCAGAGUUUGAUCCUGGCUCAGAACGAACGCUGGCGGCAUGCCUAACACAUGCAAGUCGAACGAGACCUUUUAGGUCUAGUGGCGCACGGGUGCGUAACGCGUGGGAACCUGCCCUUAGGUUCGGAAUAACUCCCCGAAAGGGGUGCUAAUACCGGAUAAUGUCUUCGGACCAAAGAUUUAUCGCCUUUGGAUGGGCCCGCGUUGGAUUAGCUAGUUGGUGGGGUAAAGGCUCACCAAGGCGACGAUCCAUAGCUGGUCUUAGAGGAUGAUCAGCCACACUGGGACUGAGACACGGCCCAG